rnacentral:lncRNA from 1 species
CACAAACCUUGUUCUCCAAAGACAGGUCUCCACUGCAGUCACUCUGAUGCCUGCAACUUGUGUAGACACACCUGAACUAGCUUUGAGCUGGUCUGGGUCCCAAUAGCCAUUCAGCUGUGAUAUUUGGCAUAGACUGAGUAUUCAGGUAGCUUCUCCUUUUGGAGCCCUACGUUGUUGCAGCUACACUGCUAGGAAUAUCUUCAGCUUAAAGCUGGAUCAGUCAUGUCUACACAACGCACGGGCUCAGUAACAUGUAGACCUGCCCCGAGCAGACUGCACGCUUCUCUGACCUGUCAUCUCUCAGAGGAGCACAGAGCAGCUUGUACAUGCAAAAAUAAAAAGAAAAGCCAUAUCAAAACAGUGCUGUCUCUAGGGAGAGGAGAAGAGAAAGAACCAACUCCAUGUAAUGAAUGUUAGUGCCGUCACUCAGCACGCCAAUGGAAAGCACUCAGGUCCCUGACUGGCGAGGAACCCAUAAGGACCUGUAUAGGCCAGUAUGGUAUUGUAUAUUAUUUAAUUUUUACACACCAGUUCUAUUGUGUCUGAACAUAUUUUGCAUCUUUUUCCUCCUCCUUUCCUAAAUGGAAUCCCCAACAGAUUGAAGGCUUGGAAGGAAAAGAGAAAGAAAGACAGAAAGAGUGCUCCAAGGAUCUUCCUAAAGUAGCUCUCACCAUUAUAGCAUGCCAGAAGAGAUUACUCUUGUCGAGGACAUCUGCUCGGGCCAGAAGCCAAAUACAACAGGACAAGGCCCUCCUGUGCAGCUCCUUUCCUUCUUGUCGCCAUAGUGAUGCUGGGAAUGGAGACCCUGCACUCACUGACCUAGAUCGCCAUCGCCUUCUGCACGGCACACCCACCUCGUCCCUCUUCUCAGGACCAUCGAUCCAGCAUAGGCUCCAGUUCGCUGCCCCGCUGGCCCCUCCAGCCUGUCUUCCUAAUUAUCCUCCGAGGCCUUCUGCCCAGCCCUCCGCUUGCUUGGUCUCACUGCGCAGGUAAGUUUUGCUGCCUGUGUUGCUCUUUGGGUUUCCCGUGGCGGGGCAUACUUGCUGCCCCGUCACACAGUUAUUUAGUACUUGCAUAACCAA